UACGAAGGGGGGCUAGCGUUGUUCGGAAUUACUGGGCGUAAAGCGCACGUAGGCGGAUUGUUAAGUUAGGGGGUGAAAUCCCAGGGCUCAACCCUGGAACUGCCUUUAAUACUGGCAAUCUCGAGUCCGAGAGAGGUGAGUGGAAUUCCGAGUGUAGAGGUGAAAUUCGUAGAUAUUCGGAGGAACACCAGUGGCGAAGGCGGCUCACUGGCUCGGUACUGACGCUGAGGUGCGAAAGCGUGGGGAGCAAACAGG
rnacentral:rRNA from 1 species